rnacentral:rRNA from 1 species
UACCAGCACCCCGAGUGGUCGGGACGUUUAUUGGGCCUAAAGCAUCCGUAGCCGGUUCUACAAGUCUUCCGUUAAAUCCAGCUGCUUAACAGAUGGGCUGCGGAAGAUACUAUGGAGCUAGGAGGCGGGGAGAGGCAAGCGGUACUCGAUGGGUAGGGGUAAAAUCCGUUGAUCCAUUGAAGACCACCAGUGGCGAAGGCGGCUUGCCAGAACGCGCUCGACGGUGAGGGAUGAAAGCUGGGGGAGCAACCGGG